UACGGAGGGUGCGAGCGUUGUCCGGAAUCACUGGGCGUAAAGGGCGCGUAGGUGGCGCGGGCAGUCAACGGUGAAAGUUCGGGGCUCAACCCUGAAUCGGCCGUCGAUACUCCCGGGCUUGAGCACUGUAGAGGCAGAUGGAAUUCCGGGUGUAGCGGUGGAAUGCGUAGAGAUCCGGAAGAACACCGGUGGCGAAGGCGGUCUGCUGGGCGAGUAGCUGACACUGAGGCGCGACAGCGUGGGGAGCAAACAGG
rnacentral:rRNA from 1 species